UACGGAGGGGGCUAGCGUUAUCCGGAAUUAUUGGGCGUAAAGGGUGUGUAGGUGGUGGUAUUAGUCUCCUGUCAAAUUCUUCGGCUUAACCGGGGGCUCGCGGGGGAAACGGUACCACUAGAGGGUGCGAGGGGUGUGUGGAACUCAUGGAGUAGGGGUGAAAUCCGUUGAUAUCAUGGGGAACACCAAAAGCGAAGGCAGCACACUGGCGCAUUCCUGACACUGAAACACGAAAGCGUGGGUAGCGAAUGGG
rnacentral:rRNA from 1 species